UCCAGCCAGGUCACGGCUAUCGCCUUCACUGCCACCAUCGUCGCCACUAAGACAUUUUAUUACUAUUUUGUGUAUAGACAUAAUAAAAAAUACAAUAAUCGAUUUGCUCUCAUCAAUUUCAUCUCUCGUCUUGGUAUUAUUAUAUCUUGCCUGGCGGCGUCCUGCAGUGACCGAACAGCAAUCGCUUGUGUUGCAUCACCAAUGCUACCGCACACGAAUGCACAUCUGCCACCGUGAGAUCGUCUGUACAAGAUUCGGUGACGGCUUUUCAAGUUUUGUUGCAAGCACGACCUACUGCAGACUACAGUUCUAAAAGAUUAGCUGUGAUCAUCAUUCAAGUGUUUUAGAUAAAUGCCAUCAAGAUUUUGGUUCAAAACAUUUAUCUCAAAAAUGAGUUGUAUAGUAGUGGUGUCUACGAAAUUUUGGCUGCUGUUACUGCUGUCAAGGUAAGUAGAAGAUGAAGUCAUAGCAGUCGAAGAG